rnacentral:rRNA from 1 species
GCUAGUUGCACAGUCUUUUUUUAGGACAAGAUUAAGUUUAUAURUCUMAUAUGUAUAUUARGUUUAUAUGUCUGACAUGUAGAUCAAACMUAUAUAUUGGAUAUAGACUUAGUUGUGCWAAAUCGGCUCUGUCGAAUAAAGUUCGAGAUAGGGUUAUGAUAAUGACAUUUUCUAUCUUUGUGUCUUGACCAAAUCACGUGCCAGCAGUCGCGGUAAGACGUGGGAGACUAGUGUUGUUCAUCUUUAUUGGGUUUAAAGGGUACCUAGACGGCCAAUCAAGCCCCCCCAAAGGGUACUAAUAGGCUAGAGUUUGAUGUGAAAAGGGGAGUAUUAAAGAGUGGAGAGAUGGAAUUCUGUGAUACCUUUUGGAACAGCCAAAGGCGAAGGCGACCUUUUAUGUAAAAACUGACGUUGAAGGACGAAGGCUUAGGUCACAAUUAGGAUUAGAUACCCUAGUAGUCUAAGCAGAAAAUGAUGAAUGUCAUAGAUGAGAUAUUUAUUUUUGUCUAUAAAUGAAAGUGUAAGCAUUCCACCUCAAGAGUAACGCGGCAACGCAGGAACUGAAAUCAUUAGACCGUUUCUGAAACCAGUAGUGGAGUAUGUUGUUUAAUUUGAUUGUACGCAAAAAACCUUACCACAGUCUGAAUAGAUAUCUAGAUAUCAUACAAGCGUUGCACGGCUGUCUUCAGUUAAUGUCGUGAGAUCUUGGUUAGCUCCAUUAAAUUAACGUAAACCCUUACUUUAUUUUUUAUUAUGAAGUAGUUCGCCAACACAAUAGUUAUGAUAACAGGGAUUAAGACAAGUCAAUAUGGCCUUAGUAUGUGGCU